rnacentral:tRNA from 1 species
GGCUCUGUGGCGCAAUGGAUAGGGCAUUGGACUUCUAGGCUGUGAGCUGAGCCAUUCAAAGGUUGUGGGUUCGAGUCCCACCAGAGUCG